GACGAACGCUGGCGGUAUGCUUAACACAUGCAAGUCGAACGAGAAGAUUAUGAUUAAGCCUUCGGGCGAGAGAUUAAUUGGAAAGUGGCGAACGGGUGAGUAACGCGUGGGUAACCUGCCCUAUGGAAAGGAAUAGCCUCGGGAAACUGGGAGUAAUGCCUUAUGACAUAGAGAAGUCGCAUGGCUUUUCUAUCAAACGCUCCGGUGCCAUAGGAUGGACCCGCGUCCCAUUAGCUAGUUGGUGAGGUAACGGCUCACCAAGGCGACGAUGGGUAACCGGUCUGAGAGGGCGAACGGUCACACUGGAACUGAGACACGGUCCAG
rnacentral:rRNA from 1 species